GACGAACGCUGGCGGCGUGCUUAACACAUGCAAGUCGAACGGAAAGGCCCUGCUUUUGUUGGGUGCUCGAUUGGCGAACGGGUGAGUAACACGUGAGUAACCUGCCCUUGACUUUGGGAUAACUUCAGGAAACUGGGGCUAAUACCGGAUAUGAGCUCCUGCUGCAUGGUGGGGGUUGGAAAGUUUCGGCGGUUGGGGAUGUACUCGCUGCUUAUCAGCUUGUUGGUGGGGUAGUGGCUUACCAAGGCUUUGACGGGUAGCCGGCCUGAGAGGGUUAACGGCCACAUUGGGACUGAGAUACGGCCCAGACUCCUACGGGAGGCAGCAGUGGGGAAUAUUGCACAAUGGGCGGAAGCCUGAUGCAGCAACGCCGCGUGCGGGAUGACGGCCUUCGGGUUGUAAACCGAUUUCGCCUGUGACGAAGCGUGAGUGACGGUAAUGGGUAAAGAAGCACCGGCUAACUACGUG
rnacentral:rRNA from 1 species